UUUGUUCUAACACAGUAUGUUCUGUUAUCCUUCUCAUUUGGAUGAUCAUCAUCAUCAGAUACUGCUGAAGGAGAACAUGAGGAGGACGAUGUAGUUGAUGAACUAUCUGAAUCUGUAUCACUUUCCGAGUCCGAGGCGGCGGCAGGGGGCUCGCUGGGAGCCUCCGGGGGCGGCGUGCAAGGGGGCGCUCCCUCGGCGGAGGGCGGCUGGUCUGGGCCGCCCUUCUCACCGUCUGGGGGGGUCGGAGAGUUCGCCGACUUCCGCUCCUCCUCCACGCCCAGAGCUUCGCUGGCAGAGUUGGGCUGCACCGUCAGGGUCUGCAGCCGCACCACCACCUCCUGCUGCUGCUGCGCCGCCAUCACCGCGCCCCACACGGCUUCCGG
rnacentral:lncRNA from 1 species